UGUAGGAAGGGAGAGGCUGCUGGAUACAGGGAUGCCCAGAGUGAGCGGACUUUGUAUGUUUCCCAGUCAGCUCCUGGUUUCUCAUGUUGCAGCUGUGCUCUUUUUAUAUAACUGGGAAAUUUAUAUGGAGGCCAAUAGCAAUCAUUUUCUCCAGCCAUCCACCUACUGCUUACAACUUCCACCUCUCCCCGUCCCAAGAAAUCCACGACAUGGAAAAAUGAAUCACUUGAGGUGCAAUGUUCAGUGCAACAGAACUAUAUGUGACACAUGCAAUUUUCCUGAAGAAAGGAUCAAAAACAGGCAGGCUAAUAUACACUUGUGUUUGAAUACAAGCUCUAAUGCAAAUGCAGCAAUGGGGUUGCUGCCCAUCCAAAUCCAAGUGGAAGCAAAACAUAUUUUGCCUCAAUGUCAGAAAGCUUGUAAAGUUUGACCUCUGCGGCAAGCUCACAAGCUGUGAAUAUGCCAAUGUCUGGAGAAUUGAUCGGCUCUGUGUACAUUGGGGCCAGAUCUAGAAACGGUCUAAGCAGAAUUAAAGUCUCUUCUGUGGUGGUGUCAAACAGGAUAUUCUCAACCAAGCCAAGUUGUCCAUUAAUCAUCACACAAUUGUCUCCCAUCUUGCAUUUUAUUGCAGCAUUUUGAAAUCUGGCCCUCUUGUACUGUAGUCUUAAAGCAUUGUCUGGCACUGUUGGUCCGCUUGUAUGCUUUCCACCAAGUUUGGGUUUGUCUGUGUGGAAAGUGGAUUUCUUCUGUGUGGACUGUGUGGACUGCCUCUCUACAACAUGUGCAAUUUGCUGAAGAAUAUGUUGAGGCUUUCUGACCUUUCUUUUAAGGUGGCCCAGGAAGUUUUCAAAAGGAAAUGCAGACACACGAUCUAAGGAACCAAACCUCCUCACAUCAUCUGCUAGAUGACACAGAGAGUGCAAAUUGUAGACCAUUUCCUCAAUGCCAUACAAGUUCCCGAACUGUUCAAGGAAGUAUCUGAUUAGGUCAUCUGCAUAAUCGCAGUAAUGGGCACACAGGGUUGGAGAAAGCAUCAGAUAGAUGCUGAUUGACAGUGAAAGAAAGUUAUUGUAGAGUGGAGUUGGGAGAAUGUCUUUUAGUACUACUGGACCAGUGUACAAAAGAAACUGUCUGAAUUCCGUAGCUUUCCAGCGAUCUAAUUCUGAGAGUGACCUUGGCUUUCGUGCAAACUCACAAGGUAUGUACUUUGACAUUC